rnacentral:misc_RNA from 1 species
UCGCGGUUUGCACCGGCAGUCUGGCCAGAGUUCCCGGCAUUACCCGCUGGCAACUGACCACAGGGGUUGCGCUCGUUAUAGGACUUAACCUGACACCUCACGGCACGAGCUGACGACAACCAUGCAGCACCUUGAAGGGCGUCCGAAGAAGGGCACAUCUCUGCGCCUGUCGCCCCCCAUUUAAGCCCUGGUAAGGUUCCUCGCGUAUCAUCGAAUUAAACCACAUGCUCCACCGCUUGUGCGGGCCCCCGUCAAUUCCUUUGAGUUUCAUCCUUGCGGACGUACUCCCCAGGUGGGAUACUUAUCACUUUCGCUUGGCCGCCCAGGCUUGCGCCCGGACAGCUAGUAUCCAUCGUUUACGGCGUGGACUAC